UUUUGGAUCUAAACUGGUAUUCAACUGACGAACUUGUAAUAAACAAAGGUCACCAGACUGGUGAGGUCAUUACCAGGGGUUUCCAAGGGAACAAGCCCCAGCACCAAUUCCCCUAAGGCCUGGGGCUAGAGAAUGGAGAUGUAGAUGACUGGCUCUGCAUCCAGCAGCACCACCACCAAACAAGCUCUGAGAGUCAGGGGGGGAUACUGUCUGUCCAGUUCCAGGGGGAGAAACGAUGUGUUCCCAUACUGUAAACUGGUUUCCUUGUUCUGA